UCUCCCUAUGUAUCCCCCCCUUCCUCUCAUUCUCUAUCUACCCCCCUUAUAUGUCUCCCUCUCUUCUUCCCUUCCUCUCACUAUCCCUCUCUCUACCCAGCCUCAGCUCAUAUUGUAAGAUGCAACUGGCCUGCAUGAAACUGAAAUCUAUAGUAAUCACCAUUCAUCCAUAAGACGGUGAAUUCGUUCCCGGGCCUUGUACACAUCGCCCGUCACACUAUGGGAGUUUUCCAUGCCCCAAGCCAUUAACUUAACCACAAGGAGGGGGAUGUUGAAGGUUGGGUUAGUGACUAGAGUGAAGUCGUCACAAGGUAGUCAUACUAGAAGGUGCGACUGGAUCACCCCCUUU
rnacentral:ncRNA from 1 species